rnacentral:rRNA from 1 species
UUUAAAGAGGUACGUGAGCUGGGUUUAGAACGUCGUGAGACAGUUCGGUCCCUAUCUGCCGUGGGUGUAGGAUACUUGAGAGGAGUUGCCCCUAGUACGAGAGGACCGGGGUGAACGAUCCACUGGUGGACCUGUUGUUGCGCCAGCAGCAGUGCAGGGUAGCUAUGAUCGGACAGGAUAACCGCUGAAGGCAUCUAAGCGGGAAGCCCCCCUCAAAACCAGGUAUCCCUGAGGGCCGUGGAAGACCACCACGUCGAUAGGCCGGAGAUGUAAGCGCAGCAAUGCGUUCAGUUGACCGGUACUAAUUGCCCGAUAGGCUUGAUUUG